GAAAGAUCUCCCAUGCUCAUGGAUUGGCAGGAUUAAUUUAGUAAAAAUGGCCAUUUUACCAAAAGCAAUCUACAGAUUCAAUGCAAUCCCCAUCAAAAUACCAAUCCAAUUCUUCAAAGAGUUAGACAGAACAAUUUGCAAAUUCAUCUGGAAUAACAAAAAACCCAGGAUAGCUAAAGCUAUCCUCAACAAUAAAAGGACUUCAGGGGGAAUCACUAUUCCUGAACUCAAGCAGUAUUACAGAGCAAUAGUGAUAAAAACUGCAUGGUAUUGGUACAGAGACAGACAGAUAGACCAAUGGAAUAGAAUUGAAGACCCAGAAAUG
rnacentral:lncRNA from 1 species